GAAUUGACGGGGGCCCGCACAAGCGGUGGAGCAUGUGGUUUAAUUCGAUGCAACGCGAAGAACCUUACCUGGUCUUGACACCCACGGAAGUUUUCAGAGAUGAGAAUGUGCCUUCGGGAACCGUGAGACAGGUGCUGCAUGGCUGUCGUCAGCUCGUGUUGUGAAAUGUUGGGUUAAGUCCCGCAACGAGCGCAACCCUUAUCCUUUGUUGCCAGCGGUCCGGCCGGGAACUCAAAGGAGACUGCCAGUGAUAAACUGGAGGAAGGUGGGGAUGACGUCAAGUCAUCAUGGCCCUUACGACCAGGGCUACACACGUGCUACAAUGGCACAUACAAAGAGAAGCGACCUCGCGAGAGCAAGCGGACCUCAUAAAGUGCGUCGUAGUCCGGAUUGGAGUCUGCAACUCGACUCCAUGAAGUCGGAAUCGCUAGUAAUCGUGGAUCAGAAUGCCACGGUGAAUACGUUCCCGGGCCUUGUACACACCGCCCGUCACACCACGGGAGUGGGUUGCAAAAGAAGUAGGUAGCUUAACCUUCGGGAGGGCGCUUACCACUUUGUGA
rnacentral:rRNA from 1 species